GGCAGCGUGCCUAAUACAUGCAAGUCGAACGGUCUUUCUAUGGAAGCUUGCUCCACUGAGAAGAUAGUGGCGAACGGGUGAGUAACACGUGGGUAACCUGCCCAUAAGAGGGGGAGUAACAUCCGGAAACGGGUGCUAAUACCGCAUAGUUUCUUGAUCGCAUGAUUGAGAAAGGAAAGACGGCCUUUGUGCUGUCGCUUAUGGAUGGACCCGCGGCGUAUUAGUUAGUUGGUGAGGUAACGGCUCACCAAGACGAUGAUACGUAGCCGACCUGAGAGGGUGAUCGGCCACAUUGGGACUGAGACACGGCCCAAACUCCUACGGGAGGCAGCAGUAGGGAAUCUUCCGCAAUGGACGAAAGUCUGACGGAGCAACGCCGCGUGAGUGAAAGAAGGUUUUUCGGAUCGUAAAACUCUGUUGUCAGAGAAGAACAAGUUGGAGAGUAACUGCUCCAGCCUUGACGGUAUCUGACCAGAAAGCCACGGCUAACUACGUGCCAGCCGCGGC
rnacentral:rRNA from 1 species